ACCUUUCAGUCUCUUGUUGGCUGCUCUGCUCGUGGUCGGAUGUGUGCAGUAAGUCGUCAGGAUUUGUUGUCUAAUAUCGCAUAGCAAAUAAUGAAAGAUCAAUGUAAUGGAGCGUGAGACUCUUCCUAAAGAGCCAUUGAGACGUAAGAAGUAGUUAGUGGGCGGAAUGGGAUGUACAGGACCGUCUGCAGCUCGUGCUCAUACUCAGCACGUGGUAUGGCGACAACGCGACGCUGUAAUGGAGGCAAAAGAACCAGGCUGCAACCGGUGAGAUCUCCCAGAGACUGUCCUGAAGAGCAGAAUUUGCUGAUGGAUGAAUAACAUACAAAAACUUGACUGUGAUGGAGUGAGCAGUUGUGACUGAAGCCAUGAGCCAGUGGUGUUAAAAGUGGGGUGAUCUAGUUGAAGACUGGUCUGCUAGCUUAUCCACACUCUGAAAGAAAGCAGUCUGCAUGAGGUUCCCACAGCUAUAAGCCUGUGGAAGCCCAACCUGGAUUACAUCUGGACACAAUGAAAGGACCCGGUGCUGCAACUUGAGUUGGGACUAAUACAAAGACCAACAUCAUGAAGUCUUCCAGGAAAUGGAUGCGUCAUUUAAAUGAGUUGGCCUCUGGGCAACGGCUCUUGAAGAGGAGUUUCCUGUAUUGUUUGUGCAAGCUGUUAAAAUAGUUUUAACCAUUAAAAUGCAAAUGUAUUUAAGGAAAUGUCAAAUAAAUGGUUGACAAAGAC